rnacentral:rRNA from 1 species
UACGGGGGGGGCAAGCGUUGUUCGGAAUUACUGGGCGUAAAGGGUGCGUAGGCGGCUUUCUAAGUUGGAUGUGAAAACUAUGGGCUCAACCCAUAGCCUGCAUCCAAAACUGGAGAGCUUGGGUUCUGGAGGGGAAAGCGGAAUUCCUGGUGUAGCGGUGAAAUGCGUAGAUAUCAGGAGGAACACCGGUGGCGAAGGCGGCGACCUGGGUAGAUACUGACGCUGAGGUGCGAAAGCGUGGGGAGCAAACAGG